rnacentral:rRNA from 1 species
CUUGGUUNNAUUAGAGGAAGUAAAAGUCGUAASRRGGUUUCSGUUAGGUGAACCUGCGGAAGGAUCAUUACAGUAUGGUUUAAGGGGGUCGGAUGCUGGCCUCUCGCGAGAGGGGCAUGUGCUCGUCCYCGUUUCUAAUCUCACAUACACCUGUGCACCUUAUAGGCGAGCGCCUCCCGUUUGGAGCCGUCCGACGGGGUCGUCGGACCGGGGCGCUCCCUCUCUUAUUGUACAACAGCAGCCUGUCUUAAACGCAUGUCUUUUCGAAAGCUCUACGGAGCAGACGGUAGCAGUUAUAACUUUCAACAACGGAUCUCUUGGCUUUUGCAUCGAUGAAGGACGCCGCGAAAGUGCGAAACGUAAUGUGAAUUGCAGAAUUCAGUGAAUCAUCGAAUCUUUGAACGCAUCUUGCGCUCCUUGGUAUUCCGAGGAGCAUGCCUGUUUGAGUGUCGUGAACGCCUCCCUCGACYGUUGUCGCUCCUUUGCCGGAGCGGGGUCGGAUUUGGACGUUUGCGACGGUUUCUUUUCCGUCGCUCGUCUAUAAAUGCAUUAGCUUGGCCCCCCUUUUUUCGAGUCGGUCCGAUGACGGUGUGAUAAGAAACGCUUCGUUGACUGUGGCGCCGUUUGGGUCGAUUUUGGAUCGGGUCGCUUAUAGCCGUCUUUUGUGUGGACAAACGCGUUUGCAAAUGUCGUCUGACCUCAAAUCAGGUAGGAUUACCCSCCGAACUUAAGCAUAUCAAUAGCCGGAGGAAA